rnacentral:rRNA from 1 species
UACGUAGGGGGCAAGCGUUGUCCGGAAUUAUUGGGCGUAAAGAGCGUGUAGGCGGUCCGGUAAGUCAGCUGUGAAAGUCAAGGGCUCAACCCUUGAAUGCCGGUUGAUACUGUCGGGCUAGAGUCCGGAAGAGGCGAGUGGAAUUCCCGGUGUAGCGGUGAAAUGCGUAGAUAUCUGGAGGAACACCGGUGGCGAAGGCGACAUCCUGGACCGGUAUUGACGCUGAGGCGCGAAAGCCAGGGGAGCAAAGCAGG